rnacentral:rRNA from 2 species
UACCGGCGGCUCGAGUGGUGGCCACUAUUACUGGGCUUAAAGCGUUCGUAGCUGGUUUGUUAAGUCUCUGGGGAAAUCUUCCGGCUUAACCGGAAGGCGUCUCAGGGAUACUGGCAGACUAGGGACCGGAAGAGGUGAGAGGUACUCCAGGGGUAGGAGUGAAAUCCUGUAAUCCUUGGGGGACCACCUGUGGCGAAGGCGUCUCACCAGAACGGCUCCGACAGUGAGGGACGAAAGCUGGGGGAGCAAACCGGAUUAGAUACCCGGGUAGUCCCAGCUGUAAACGAUGCGCGUUAGGUGUAUCGGUGACCACGAGUCACCGAGGUGCCGAAGAGAAAUCGUGAAACGCGCCGCCUGGGAAGUACGGUCGCAAGGCUGAA